UAGCCUAGUGGUUAAGGCUAUGGAUCGCCAAUCCGAAAACGGCGGGUUCGAUUCCCGU
rnacentral:tRNA from 1 species